rnacentral:rRNA from 1 species
GACGAACGCUGGCGGCGUGCCUAAUACAUGCAAGUCGAACGGUGAAGGAGGAGCUUGCUUCGCCGGAUGAGUUGCGAACGGGUGAGUAACGCGUAGGUAACCUGCCUGGUAGCGGGGGAUAACUAUUGGAAACGAUAGCUAAUACCGCAUAACAGUAGAUGUUGCAUGACGUUUGCUGAAAAGGUGCAAUUGCAUCACUACCAGAUGGACCUGCGUUGUAUUAGCUAGGUGGUGAGGUAACGGAUCACCAAGGCGACGAGACGGAGCCGACCUGCGUGGGGGGGUCGCCACACUGGGAGUGUGACACGGCCCAGUCGCCCUCAGGGAGCACCCAGAGGGAAUCUUCGGGCAUGGGCGGAAAUCUGACCGCGCUACGCCGCGGGAGGAUAGAACGUUGUCGGGUCCGAAAGCUCUGUUUUAAGGGUAGAACGAGUGUUAGAGUGGGAAGUUCACACUGUGACGGUAACUUACCAGAAAGCGACGGCUAACUACGUG